rnacentral:rRNA from 1 species
UACGGGGGGAGCAAGCGUUGUUCGGAUUUACUGGGCGUAAAGGGCGCGUAGGCGGCCAGCACAAGUCAGUUGUGAAAUCUCCGAGCUUAACUCGGAAAGGUCAACUGAUACUGUGCGGCUAGAGUGCGGAAGGGGCAACUGGAAUUCUUGGUGUAGCGGUGAAAUGCGUAGAUAUCAAGAGGACCACCUGCGGCGAAGGCGGGUUGCUGGGCCGACACUGACGCUGAGGCGCGAAAGCCAGGGGAGCAAACGGG